CUGGGUUUACAUAUAAUAGAGCUCCAGCAACAUGGUGAUUAUUUGGCCUGUUUGGUUCCUGUACAACUGGCUUUAAAGUGUUCUCAACCUGCUACUUGUGUUUUUUUGGAGAUGUUCCUCAAGGAAGUAUCACCUGUAUCAACUGUAGUAUCAACUGAAGUAUCAACUGUAUCACCUGAACACUUUCAGUACUGCGAUUCAUGAAAUUAAAAGUAUCACUGUGUAGGCCAAACUCCAAAUCAGAUAUGACUACAAACACUUCCCACUCGGCCCCAAGCACCGCUGUGAGCCGCUGUUCCACGCACGCAUCUCGCCUCCUGUGCACUGCAGUGCAGAAAUCACCACAUGGAAUUUUUCACAGAUUUUGCCACAUUGAAUGCUAUAGGCAGAAGAUUUAAUACUAACACAGGAUGCCAAUGUAGGGUACUACAAGAUCAGUUUGACUGCUAAGUCACAAAGCUCCUGCAAUGACAACAUGCUGGGACAGAUUCACUGUUCACAAAGCUUAGCAAGCCCUUGGCAUAACUCUGACGGUUAUUUAUGUCUUGCUCUGAUACGAUAAACAAACAAAACCAUGAUAACACACCUAAUUGCCAACAGAAGAAAAACACUGUUUUUACUUGACUGACAUAAGUAGAAUUCUUCCUUUCGCAUUUACAACACUUCAUUAAGAAAUCUCAGAACACUCCUCCAGAAUCUCCUUGUGAAUUGGAUGAGGUACUUUAGUAAACAUUCUAAAACGCUUUUCUCUUUAACACGUUUUCUUUAGCACAAGACAGAAGAGAGAGCAUGAGGUUGCUCCAGAGGCCCUGUCACAUUCUACAGUAGAGCACUGGGUUGCAAAAGAGGUGUUAUCUUCUGCCUUUGACCCAUUUCUGGUGUCUUCCAGACCUGGCCAGUUGUGAUUCGCAGUUCCUGACUACACUCUGGUGCUCGUGUGCAGCUGAUGGGAUCAGAAAGCUGUAUAAUCAGUAUAGAAAUCCAUGUUCCUUGAAUAAACACAUUAAAA